UGUCGACUGACCUAGCAGACGCUCGUAGAGACGACAUGAUAAAAACUACGAGGUAAGAAUG
rnacentral:ncRNA from 1 species